GACAGAGGGGGCAAGCGUUGCUCGGAAUUACUGGGCGUAAAGGGCGCGUAGGCGGCCACUGCAAGUCAGUUGUGAAAUCUCCGGGCUUAACCCGGAAAGGUCAACUGAUACUGCAGGGCUAGAGUGCAGAAGGGGCAACUGGAAUUCUCGGUGUAGCGGUGAAAUGCGUAGAUAUCGAGAGGAACACCUGCGGCGAAGGCGGGUUGCUGGGCUGACACUGACGCUGAUGUGCGAAAGCUAGGGGAGCGAACGGG
rnacentral:rRNA from 1 species